UGGUGAGCUUGCAUGGGAAAAGGGGUAACCCGGCAAAUAAGGCCCCAUUUCCCCUAGCGAGAAAUUUGAUUGGCAGUUUUCUCGCCGAUCCUCCUUAGGCUUCCUCUCAGGCUCAUCGAGUAAAAGGAAGAGGCCGGGGAAGAGGUGGAGGAAAGGCUAGGAGAAACCCGGUUCGGCCUCCCUCGCCACCACCUUUCGUGACACCACCUGAGGAUGAGGGGGUGGAGGACGAGCCGGUGUCUCACUCCCCCAUGUCUGAGGAGAGGGUGGAUGAGUGGUUGUCGCUGGAGGAGGACGAGGAUCGGUCAGGGGCCCUGACCGCCGACGACGAGAAUGAUGGUUUUAUCCAAGUUGAGGAGGGUCGAACCGUGUACAUGCGUGGUUCGUCAAGGCUCCCGGAACGAGGGCUUCCUAUCGAGCAGAGGCCAUGUAUUACUCCAUAUGGAGAAAGCGAUUGGGCGACAGUUGGAGAUUCCCAGGGUAAGAAGCACCGGCUCGUGAAUGGCGUCCUUGGAUCCUCUUGAGGGAGCAUUACCCUGGCACAGUUACUUUGCCUGGGGAGGUCAAUGUUCCAGAGCCAGCACGGACUUGGUACCACUACAUAGCCUACGAGGAUCUUGGUGUAGCAAACAACAUCGAGUUUCACAACAAAGCGGAGCGGGUCUUUGCCGAACUUUGGGAUUUCAAUAGAUGCGAGGAAGGGAACUUGGAGGAGGCACGAGCAGUCGUGAACCACCAUUGCAAGAAGCUUGUGUGCAAUCUGAUGCAUGAGGCGCGCCCUUUAGCCGUCCGCAGGUUACUCCGAGAUGGUGUGUCGACAAGGGGUAGUGCUGGGAGUGGAUCAUGGACUACUGGUGUUCUGAAGAGUAUAGGGAGAAAAACCUAGAUUAUAAAAAUCGGCGAGCCGCAAUGGAGGAUCCACCACACCAUCAAGGCAACUUGAACCUUAAGGGGUUCGGCGAGCGUUGGGUAUGUCUUUCUUCCCAUCGAUUUGUUCUUCAUAAGCUUUUUCUUGUCAUACAUGUUGCCAAUCCUUGUGAUGAAGUCUUAAUCAUGUUGCUUUGGUUGCAGGCGUCUCACAAUAAGGCUCCGGAGCCCAACCUUUUUGUGGCGUACGCUUUGGCCCAUAAGGGAUCAUUCCGAUCUGCCACGCCUUACGAUGAGAAUGACACAUUGCCUGCCUACACCAGCAAGACUGCCUAUGAUCGAAUGGACAAAUUUAAAAGGAAGGCAAAAGAGAUGAGAGGGCCUGAGUAUGAUGUGACAUUGGAGCCCCUUGACCACGAGGUGGUUAUGAUCUCUGGAGGUGGUAGGAAACAUGGCAAGGAAGCGACUGGAGGUGGCAUGUUUCCUAGGUCCUCCCGUCGCACUCUCCCUGAGUACAAAGCUCGGUCAGGUAUCUCAACAUCUUCUAUAUGUCAACGCUCGACUCCAGCAAUGGUUGCGAUGGAGUCUUGACUAGAGGAGCAGAGGCGACUGCUAGAUGAGAAGUUGGAGGAGAGGUUGGCGGAGGAGAGGCGACUGGUGGAUGAGAAGAGGGCGGAGGAGAGGCGACUAGCGGAUGAGAGGAUGCAACAGUACUUUGCAAUGUUUGCGGCUUAUUGUACCCAGAAUGGUAUGCCCGCUAUGCAGUUGCCUGACAUUGCUUCGCCCCUAUGCAUCAAUCAGGCCAAGGGUCAAAUAAUGAUGGAUCUUCACAUGCACCAGGCCCAAACGCCAAUGACCAUGGUGGUUCUCCGAACCUUUGAGAUCGA